rnacentral:snoRNA from 1 species
GGGUCUGUGAUGAUGACUUUCACUUUAUUUCGAGUCUCACGACCUUGAGAUCA